ACGAGGAAGCAAAAGCGGAAACAUAAGUUGCGAACCCUCCCUCGCUCCCACCACCACACCCAUCGCCAACCGGAGCACCCAUCGUUGAUCAGAACAUCUUCACCGGUAAUCCUUCCAUCUCCGAUCAUCCCUGCUCCUUCAAUCUAUUUUGGUGAGAAAUAGUUGUUUGUACAUUUCACUGUACGAAAAGGAGUUGUUAAGUCCUUUUAGUAGUUUAAACUUCGCCAUAGUGAAGAAGGAAUAAUUCCAUUAAAGAAGUUAUCAGAAAGAUCAAGAGUCUGGAGCUUUGAGAGUUUUCCAAGUUUUGCUGGGAUUGGUCCUGUUAUGUUGAUGAGAAAUAGUUGUUUGUCCAUUUUUGCAGCUGCCUUGCGUUGAGAAUCACGGGCAAAAUAAAGUAUGGAAGACGUAGAUGAUAAGCCUGUUGAUGUUUUGAUGGAAUCCGAUACUGAGAAUAUUACGGAGUUUGUGAAUGUAGUCGAAGACGAAACAUCAGGGGGGAUGGGUUACAAGUGCCUAAGGUGGGUAUGCUAUUUAAGCAUGAAGAAUAUAUGUAUAACUUCUACAAAAAAAUAAGCUUAUGCCGUUGGUUUUCUCUUAAAAAAAAGGAAUUCGAAAAGGGGGAGGACGGAGUAUUGAGAUACCUAACGUUAACACGUAGUCAUACUUGCCCAAUGACAUGUUGACACCAUUAUCUUUGUCACAACUGUCCAUGCCCACACCGUUCUCCCUUUCCCAAUGUGUACCCUUUGGAAAUUUGGUCUCUCCAUCCGCGGCUAGUAUCAUGCAAAAUUCACAAGGUCAACCAUCGGCGAACUACUUUCAAAAUUUAUUGGAUCACAGUGGCAGCCUAUAGAAGGGGUGCUAUGUCUGCGCGAUUGAAAUUUGUUUGAAAUCAAGACUUCCAAUUCACAGUACUCAAAUGAAGAUGUAUUUUGGCAUUUCCUGGUAUUAAGGCAAUUACUACUUUGCCUAUUUUGGCAACUUCACAGGUUUUAGUUGGCGGAAUUUUUUUGAAAUGUUGGGCAAUUACUACUCAUAGUGUAUUAGUAUCAGGUAAUUGUUGUGAUAAUUCAAUGGAAAUUUCUUUUGUUUUGUUCAUUGCUUUUUGAGCAACUUAUAUAAUAGCUGAAUUGUUAAGUCUUUCUGCUUUCUGUGAUAAUUGAGAAUUUUCUUCUGCAA